GCCUACUUAGCUCAGAAGGUCAGAGCUUCUGUCUCAUGUGCAGAGUGUCGCUGGUUCGAUUCCAGCAGUAGGUA
rnacentral:tRNA from 1 species